rnacentral:lncRNA from 1 species
UAGAACUUACGGUUGAUGGAUAACAAGGUUAAAGAAUAAUUAUAACCCAAGGAGACGAAUCCUCUAAAAAUGGAAGCUCAAAAUCAGUUGUAAAUGACUCAAAUCAUGUUUAAAAGUGUCCAAGGAAGCAGUGUUACAUGAACACCGACUCGACUACUAGCAUCAUAUACACAGGGUAUUUUAUGUUUGAUAUUGACUAUCUGAGUGCUAUGCAGCCAGUGGAUUAUGGAACAUUUUGGUGAUAAAAGAGUCAGUGGCAUCAGUAUUUUGUAAAGAAAUUCAGAAC